CUCCGCGCAGCGCCCUGAGCCACCGUCUCGCGCCUCCUGGCGUCCUCCCGAUCCCCUCUCUCAGGGCUUCCCGCGGGCCCCCCGCUUUUCGGGGCUCCCCUCGGCCAGCGCCGGAGGUGGCUGGCGCGUCCCCAGGUCCGCGCCUGGCGGCCUGACGGGACUGCUGGGGGUGACCGCCAUAGCGCCACGUGGUCACUUGUUUGACAAAGGAAACUUUUUUCUCCCUCCGAAGUGCUGCAUUUCUGGACCGAGCCACCGGCCGCCUUAUGCCUAUUGUAUCCCUUUCCCUGCCGAGCCAUCUUUUUCGCUUUCUUUGAGCUGUCCCAAACCUGGGCCAGGGUCCUGGCGCGGUGAGCUGAUGGAAGGGGGCUGGGGGUUCGGGGCAGCGAGGGCGCCGAAGGUACGAGCUGGGGAGACUGCACUGGUGUCGGGAGUGGCGAAGGAAAACCAGUGUCCGUGCCUCCUAAAGAGAGGAGUGAAAUGAAGUGCCGGGUAGCUCACAGGGCCUUUCCCUAAAAGGCAGCGCGGAACUGCCGGCAGGCAUCUGGGGCCGGCGGGCUGGUGCACCUGGCACUUCGUUUUGCUUUUGCAGGUGAAGACGUUUUCCCCGAGCCGGCCGCGGGACCUUUGCUUUCUUUUGGAAUCUCAGAAAUCACGUGAACUCUAGGCGGCUUGAUGUUUGCAAACCCACUGAAGAGCGGCAGAAAGUUUUCAUAGGCAGGUCAGCCGGGCCAUUUUGACGUGUGUCCCAGAGCACAACGAUUAAAAUUAUACAGAGCCCUCAUCUGCUUUACUUUCUGGCUGAUUUGACUGUAACAGGUCUCAGAUAGAGAUACUGAGCCAUCAAAGGAAAAAACUUCACCUGAGAUCAUCCCCCGUCGCCCCUCAUGUGAUGGAACGGAGAGUCACAAAACAGAGUAUCAUAACUGAAUACCUGAGAUGAUCACCAGCAUUUCCAUUAUACGUCUGACAUCUCAGCUAACAGUUGCCGGCCUGGGACUCCUCUCCCCAGCACCUCGUGAAGGAAAGAUUUACCGGCCAGGACACGGAAGCCCAGAGGCUGCCCACCGGCACGUGCAGAGCAGGAACCCGACACGCUGCUGUUUCCCCGGUGCCCAUUCACCCUGCAGCCAACGUCCCCCCACUCACAGGACCCGCCUCCCAUGGGCAGC